AUUGAACGCUGGCGGCAUGCUUUACACAUGCAAGUCGAACGGCAGCGCGGGCUUCGGCCUGGCGGCGAGUGGCGAACGGGUGAGUAAUACAUCGGAACGUGCCCAGUAGUGGGGGAUAGCUCGGCGAAAGCCGGAUUAAUACCGCAUACGACCUGAGGGUGAAAGCGGGGGAUCUUCGGACCUCGCGCUAUUGGAGCGGCCGAUGGCAGAUUAGCUAGUUGGUGGGGUAAAGGCCUACCAAGGCGACGAUCUGUAGCUGGUCUGAGAGGACGACCGGCCACACUGGGACUGAAACACGGCCCAGACUCCCAAGGGAGGCAGGAGUGGGGAAUUUUGGGAAAAGGGCGAAAGCCUGACCCAGCAAUGCCGGGGGGGUUAAGAAGGCCUUCGGGUUGUAAAACACUUUUGGCGGGAAAGAAAAGGACUGUGCCAAUACCACGGUUCGAUGACGGUAACCGCAGAAUAAGCACCGGCUAACUACGUG
rnacentral:rRNA from 1 species